rnacentral:lncRNA from 1 species
UUCAGUACAUAAAGUACAUGACUUCCUACUCAAAAUGCAUUUAAACUACUCUACACUGAUACUGAAUGUCUCUACUGCUUCAUUCCAUCUCCCUCUUCUCUUGGCUUUCAUGAACAUCAGAUUGCAUGUACUCUGUUAACUGGCUUAGAUUUCUAACUUUUCUCAAAAUACUGAUUCAGAAGCUAAUGUAACGGUAAAAUGACUGGCAAAGAAAUUUGAAUAUAGAUAGACUUGCAUUCUCAAAGAAAUGUUAAAAACAGG